GUCUUCCUGAUGAGCCAUUCCCAGCUAGCUACGUUAGACGUUAAUAAUGCGGUACUUGUAGGCUACAUUUUCGGUGAAAAUCAUUACAAUAAAUAUGUUUUAGCUGUCACCCCGGCCUGAUUGAUAUUGGCUACACUAUCUACACUGAACAAAAAUAUAGACGCACCAUGCAACAAUUAACGAUUUUAUUGAGUUACAGUUCAUACAAGGAAAUAAGUCAAUUGAAAUGAAUUUAUAAUUGUAUUUAACCUUUAUUUAACUAGACAAGUCAGUUAAGAACAUAUUAUUAUUUACAAUGACGGCCUCCUGCGGGGAUGGGUGCUGGGAUUAAAAAUAAAAAUAAAUAAAUACAAAUAUAGGACAAAACACACAUCAUGACAAGAGACAACACAACACUACAUAAAGAGAGACCUAAAACGACAACAUAGCAUGGCAGCAACACAUUAAACACUCAUCUAUGGAUUUCACAUGGCUGGGCAGGGGUGCAGCCAUGGUUGGGCAUGGGAGGGCAUAGGCACACCCACUUGGGAGCCAGGCCCAGACAAUCACAAUGAGUUUUUCCCUACAAAAGGGCUUUAUUACAGACAUAAAUACUUCUGUUUCAUCAGCUGUCCGGGUGGCUGUCUCAGACAAUCCCACAGGUGAAGAAGCCAGAUGUGAAGUUCCUGGGCUGGCGUGGUUAUACAUGGUCGGCAGUUGUGAGGCCAGUUGGAUAUACUGGCCAAAAAAUGUUUUUAACGACAUUGGAGGUGGUUUAUGGUAGAGAAAUUAACAUUCAAUUCUCUGGCAACAGCUCUGGUGGACAUUCCUGCAGUCAGCAUGACAAUUGCAGGCUCCCUCAAAAUUUGAGACAUCUGUGGCAUUGUUGUGUGACAAAACUUCAUAUUUUAAGAGUGGCCUUUUAUUGUCCCUAGCACAAGAUGCACCUAUGUAAUGAUCAUGCCGUUUAAUCAGCUUCUUGAUAUGCCACGCCUGUCAGGCUCACUAACAGAGGUGUAAACACAUUUGUGCACAACAUUUGAGAGAAAUAAGCUUUUUGUGCGUAUGGAACAUUUAUGGGAUAUUUUUUUGCGACCAAUGAAACAUGGGACCAACACUUUACAUGUUGCAUUGAUGUUUUUGUUCAGUAUAGCUACAGUACUUCCCUCUAUUUACUGCAGCAAGCGGGAGCUAAGGACACGGUGACCCGUGUUGCUGUGCUGUUGGCUUGCAGCACAAACUCUCCCUAGCAUUGACCGGUAGACUAUCCCGGUGACAUCCAGAUGGUUACUAUCAAUAGCCUAUUACAAGUAAUUUAUCGUGUAGGCUGCUAUCAAGUGGGAUGGAAAAAAUUAGAGAUGGUGACCAAUACUCCCAAGUUAUUUCCCCAUCGAUAUAAACAUCACGUUCCUUUAUAACUAGCACAAUGCUGCUACUGUUGCCAGCAUUAACUAGCUUGACUGACUGAACCGAAUCCACCCUCGACUUUCCACUGCGCGACAUACGUCAUCCAUGUGAGCACCAGGCGUGCCUGUAAAGCGUCUAUUUUCAUACUAACCUACUCUGUCUAUUCAGUUCACUUUCACGGAGAAGGGUCGAGCUGCUGCUGAGAGGAGGAUGAUGUGGCGGCGGAGAGAAUGUGCCUCUCUUAUCUCUUCCCAGAGGACCUGUGCCCUAGGACCAUGCCUCAGGACUACCUGGCCUGAUGACUCCUGACUGUCCCAGUCCCCAGUCAAACUUGUUAUGCUGCUGCUCCAGUUUCAACUUUUCUGCCUGUGUUCUUUGGCUGUCCAAAGUUCUACCUGGAGUUCUACCUGGAACCAAAAUGUGUUCUUCAAAGGGUUCUCCAAUGGGGACAGCCGAAGAUAGAUAGCACCUUUUUUUCUUAGAGUGUAGUCUUAGAAUCUCCACCUGGCACAGCCAGAAGAGGGUUGACCACACCUCAGAGCCUGGUUCCUCACUAGGUUCCUGCCUUUCUAGGGAGUUUUCCUAGUCACCGAGCAUCUACAUCUGCAUCGCUUGCUGUUUGAGGUUUUAGGCUGGGUUUCUGUAUAAGCACGUUGUGACAUCUGCUGAUGUAAAACAGGCUUUAUACAGUUGAAGUCGGAAGUUUACAUACACUUAGGAUGGAGUCAUUAAAACUCAUUUUUCAACCACUAACAAACUAUAGUUUUGGCAAGUCGGUUAACAUCUACUUUGUGCAUGACACAAGUCAUUUUUCCAACAAUUGUUUACAGACAGAUUAUUUCACUUAUAAUUCACUGUAUCACAAUUCCAGUGGGUCAGAAGGAGACGCGUUCUGUAUCCUAGAGAUUAACGUACUUUGGUGCGAAAAGUGCAAAUCAAUCCCAGAACAACAGCAAAGGACCUUGUGAAGAUGCUGGAGGAUCAGGUACAAAAGUAUCUAUAUCCACAGUAAAACAAGUCCUAUAUUGACAAAACCUGAAAGGCUGCUCAGCAAGGAAGAAGCCACUGCUCCAAAACCUCCAUUAAAAAGCCAGACUACGGUUUGCAACUGCACAUGGGGACAAAGAUCGUACUUUUUGGAGAAAUGUCCUCUGGUCUGAUGAAACAAAAAUAUAACUGUUUGGCCAUAAUGACCAUCGUUAAGUUUGGAGAAUAAAGGGGAACGCUUGCAAACCGAAGAACACCCUCCCAACCGUGAAGCACGGGGGUGGCAGCAUCAUGUUGUGGGGGUGCUUUGCUGCAGGAGGGACUGGUGCACUUCACAAAAUAGAUGGCAUCAUGAGGUAGGAAAAUUAUGUGGAUAUAUUGAAGCAACAUCUCAAGACAUCAGUCAGGAAGUUAAAGCUUGGUCGCAAAUGGGUCUUCCAAAUGAACAAUGACCCCUAGCAUACUUCCAAAGUUGUGGCAAAAUGGCUUAAGGACAACAAAGUCAAAGUAUUGGAGUGGCCAUCACAAAGCCCUGACCUCAAUGCUAUAGAAAAGUUGUGGGCAGAACUGAAAAAGCAUGUGCGAGCAAGGAGGCCUACAAACCUGACUCAGUUACACCAGCUCUGUCAGGAGUAAUGGGCCAACUUUCACCCAACUUAUUGUGGGAAGCUUGUGGAAGGCUACCCAAAACGUUUGACCCAAGUUAAACAAUUUAAAGGCAAUGCUACCAAUCACUAAUUGAGUUUAUGUAAACUUCUGACCCACUGGGAAUGUGAUGAAAGAAAUUAAAGCUGAAAUAAAUCAUUCUCUCUACUAUUAUUCUGGUAUUUCGCAUUAUUCAAAUAAAGUGGUGAUCCUAACUGACCUAAGACAGGGAAUUGUUACUAGAAUUAAAUGUCAGGAAUUGUGAAAAACUGAGUUUAAAUGUAUUUGGCUAAGGUGUAUGUAAACUUCCGUCUUCAACUGUAAAUACAUUUGAUUGAUUGAUUGAUUGACAAAAGAGAUUAGUGCGAAAAGGGUCAUUGCAGAUAUUCUGGAUAGCUAUUGGUUAACUAUUUAAUUAACAAUUUAGGAGUCUUAUACCUUGGGGGUAGAAGCUGUUCAGGAUCCUGUUGGUUCCACACUUGGUGCAUUGCUACCGUUUGCCAUGCAGAGUCAAAGGGAACAGUCUGACUUGGAUGGCUGGAAUCUUUGACAAUUUUUAGGGCCUUCCUCCGACACCGCCUGGUUUAAAGGUCCUGGAUGGCAAGGAGCUCGGCCCCAGUAAUGUACUGAGCCGUAUGCAUAUCGUCUGUAGUGCCUUGCUGUUGGAUGCCAAGCAGUUGCCAUACCAAGCGGUGAUGCAGCCAGUCAAGAUGCUCUCAAUGGUGUAAAUGUAUAACUUUUUGAGGAUCUAAGGGACCAUGACAAAUCUUUUCAGCCAACCGAGGGGGAAAAGGGAUUGCCGUGCCCUCUGCGGGACUGUGUUGAUGUGUUUGAACCAUGACAGUUCCUUAGUGAUGCGGACACACCGGUACUUGAAGCUCUCAACCUGUUCCCCAACAACCUAGUUGAUGUGCCUACUACAUACUCUAUCUAUUUUACCAGACAAACACCAAUGAAUGGAGACAGCACCUAGUUUUGUUCUCUGUUCCCCAACACUGUUUGUUCACCGGCCCGAAGCACAACCUCUGCCCCCAGUACUGACUGGUGAUCGGCCCCCAGCCCAUCUCCCGCACUGAGUUGCAGAAUUAGAAACAAUCUCCAUGCAGGACCUGGGAAGCUCCAUACUGGGCCCACCUCCAAGACCUACUCCACUGGCUUGCUCCUCACCAAUGCCACAGAGCAGCAGCAGUAGAAGAAGGGAGAAAAGAGCUGCAGACUCAGCCCUUGACACAUCACUCACAAAGGCAUUCCAAAUGAUUGAAGAAUGUGGAGAAUGUCAUGCAUCGAGCUACCAACUUGUCCCAGAGGGCCCGUGGCACCAACAUGUAUAGCUGAUUUUAUGGAUAAACUCUCAAACUCUGGGAGGAAUUCGACACUCCUGAAUCAGACAGUCCUGAGAUCACUGAACAAUAACAACAGAACAAGUUAAAACCUCUUAAGGAUCGGACGCUUUUUUUUCAAUUUUUGCCUAAAAUGACAUACUCAAAUCUUACUGCCUGUAGCUCAGGACCUGAAGCAAGGAUAUGCAUAUUCUUAAUACCAUUUGAAAGGAAACACUUUGAAGUUUGUGGAAAUGUAAAAUUAAUGUAGGAUAAUAUAACAAUAGAUCUGGUAAAAGACAAUACAAAAUAAAAAUACACUUGUUUUUUUGUUCCGUAGCUACUAGUGUAACGCAAUUAAACAUUACAUUGCUAACUAGGCAUCAUUUAGCUAAUAAAUGGUCAAGUGUAUUAGGAAGUUUAAUAAGGUAAACACUCACCGAAUGACUUUGGUAGGUACCUAGCUAGAUGGCUUGGUUUCCAUUUUCAACAGAUUUUUUGAAUCCCCCGAUUGGGCAUCAACGGUUACUGAUCUUGCAGCUCAUGUGUUCACCAGAAACGACAUCUGGUAAGUUGUUUCCCACUAGUGGGAAUAAAUGUUGCCACAGGUUCAAAUAGAAUCUUGAGAGAAUAGUCUGCCAGGAAACAACUUCUGGCAAACUGUUUGCCACUAGUGGCAAUAAAUAUUAUUGUUGCCAAUUGUUUGCCACAGAUUCACCACUAGUGGCAAACAUUUGCAGUUUCUUGCAACAUUCUGUGGCACACUAGUUUGCAGCAAAUUUGUGAGUUGUUUGCUGCAACAAAUUCAUUUUUGCACGUCUUAUUUUCGAUUACUGUUUCAAUAUUGUGACUGGAGUUAUAUUUUUUUACAGGUUACAAUGCUUGUAAAUAUGUUAUUGUGGAAAGAUUACAAGAUUUUAGGCUACAACGGUCACAAAUAUGUUUUGAAGCACCUACUGACCACUACUAGUCCUUGUAUGAACAUUACUUUUUUUCAACUCCCUAUGUCUUGAUUCUGUGCCAGUUAGUGCAGUGGCCCAAAAUAGACUAUGUUCUGUGGUGUGCUGUUAUUUCAAGGCCCCGGUAUUGGGAAUUUGAGAUUCCUAGCAGGGCUAGAAGUAAGUAGAAGUCAAUCCAAGGUUGUAUACUAAGCAUUUGACUUCCUGUUGCUGGUUGACAUCAGAAGCUCAGGUUCAUUCUGCCCUUGAGCAAGGCACUUUACAACUAACCAGCUUUAAGUGCGUCAUAAUAUGGUAGACCUUCUGCUUCAACUUCUCCAACCUGUGUGGGUAUGUAUGUAUUUUCCAUGGGGUUGAGAUGAAGAAGAACAAAUUUAUUUUGGACAUUCCUGGAUAUUGAACAAUAAACUUUUUCGCAGGUCCCGACCUUAAAUGCUCAAACUUUUAGAGAAGAAAACACAUUGCAUGAAUACAAUAGAACCAACUAGUUCUAUAAGACUAUAACAGAAUUCUAGAAGAACAAUAGAACAGAAUACCUGCUGAAAAGAGGCUAAAUUGUAGAUGGUUGAAUACACAGAAAAAAAAUAACAAUUUUCUCCAGUUAUGCUGUUAACAAAUGUGGUAUUACUAUCUUCAUAACAUACAUCUAGUUUGCAGACGACACAACAGUGGUAGGCCUGAUUACCAAAAACAACAAGACAGCCUAUAGGGAGGAGGUGAGGGCCAUGGUGGAGUAGUGCCAUGAAAAUAAACUCCCGCGGCAUAAAACAAACUGAAGGGGCUGAUCGUGGACUUAGGGAGACUGCAGAGGGAGCAUGCCCUCAUAUACACUUUGACGGGGCCGCGGUUGAGAGGGUGAAAAGCUUCAAGUUCCUCAGUGUGCACAUCACUGACAACCGCUUGGAACGGCAACUGCACUGCUCUCCAGAGUGUGGUGCGGUCAGCCCAACACAUCACCGGGGGCACGUUGCCUGCCCUCGAGGACAUCUACAGCACCCAGUGUCACAGGAAGGCCAAGAAGAUCAUCAAGGACCUCAGCCACCCGAGCCCUGGUCUGUUAACCCCGCUACCAUCUAGAAGGCGGAGACAGUACAGGUGCAUCAAAGCUGGGACAGAGAGACUGAAAAACAGCUUCUAUCUCCAGGCCAUCAGAAGGUUAAAUAGUCACCACUAGCCGGCCUCUGCCCAGUACCUUGCCUUUAACUUUAGUCACUGUUAUUUGCCGGCUACCACCCAGUACUCUACCCUGCACCUUAGAGAUUGCUGCCCUAUGUACUGUACAUAGUCAUUGAACGCUAGUCACUUUAAUAAUGUUUACAAACUGUUAAACUCACUUCAUAUGUAUAUACUGUAUUCUAAUCAAGGCUCAUCAUACAGUAUAUAGCUACUGCUGUACACACCAUCCUCUAUUCAUAUACUGUCCAUAAUGUCUAUACACACCAUCCUAUAUAACUACUGCUAUACACACCUCUUCUAUUCAUAUACUGUCCAUAAUGUCUAUACACACCAUCCUAUAUUACUACUGCUAUACACACCUCUUCUAUUCAUAUACUGUCCAUACACAUCAUAUACUGUACGUACACUACCGUUCAAAUUUUGGGGUCACUUAGAAAUGUCCUUGUUUUUGAAAGA